rnacentral:rRNA from 1 species
CUACGGGUUGCAGCAGUGGGGAAUAUUGCACAAUGGGCGCAAGCCUGAUGCAGCCAUGCCGCGUGUAUGAAGAAGGCCUUCGGGUUGUAAAGUACUUUCAGCGGGGAGGAAGGGAGUAAAGUUAAUACCUUUGCUCAUUGACGUUACCCGCAGAAGAAGCACCGGCUAAGUCCGUGCCAGCAGCCGCGGUAAUACGGAGGGUGCAAGCGUUAAUCGGAAUUACUGGACGUAAAGCGCACGCAGGCGGUUUGUUAAGUCAGAUGUGAAAUCCCCGGGCUCAACCUGGGAACUGCAUCUGAUACUGGCAAGCUUGAGUCUCGUAGAGGGGGGUAGAAUUCCAGGUGUAGCGGUGAAAUGCGUAGAGAUCUGGAGGAAUACCGGUGGCGAAGGCGGCCCCCUGGACGAAGACUGACGCUCAGGUGCGAAAGCGUGGGGAGCAAACAGGAUUAGAUACCCGAGUAGUC